GCCUGCCCAGUGACUUUAUGUUAAACGGCCGCGGUAUUCUGACCGUGCCAAGGUAGCGCAAUCACUUGCCCUUUAAAUGGGGGCCCGUAUGAAUGGCAUCACGAGGGCUAAUCUGUCUCCUUUUUCAGGUCAAUGAAAUUGAUCUCUCCGUGCAGAAGCGGGGAUAUUUACAUAAGACGAGAAGACCCUGUGGAGCUUUAGAUUUUAAGACUGACCCUGUCCCCGCCCUAAAAACAUGGGCCAAAUUAUGGAAUACAGUCCGAUUAUCUUUGGUUGGGGCGACCGCGGGGAUUAAUAAAACCCCCACGUAGACCGGGAGCAUAAUGCACCCAAAACCAAGAGUUACCACUCUAAUAAACAGAACCUCUGACUUUAAUGUGAUCCGACAAAGUCGAUCAACGAACCGAGUUACCCCAGGGAUAACAGCGCAAUCCCCUUUAAGAGUUCACAUCGACAAGGGGGUUUACGACCUCGAUGUUGGAUCAGGACAUCCCAAUGGCGCAGCAACUAUUAAGGGUUCGUUUGUUCAACGAUUAAAGUCCUACGUGAU
rnacentral:rRNA from 1 species